AGCUUUGUGCAGUGGCAGUAUCGUAGCCAAUGGGGUUUAUCCAAGGCGUGAUUAUUGCUAAUUGAAAAUGGGUUGGGUUCCUGAGCUGGUUGUUACAGAUCAUGGGUCAGAGUUUUAUUUUUAUAUAUUGUCUAGAAAU